rnacentral:rRNA from 1 species
UACAGAGGGGGCAAGCGUUGUUCGGAAUUACUGGGCGUAAAGGGCGCGUAGGCGGCCUGUUAAGUCGAACGUGAAAUCCCCGGGCUCAACCCGGGAACUGCGUCCGAUACUGGCAGGCUUGAAUCCGGGAGAGGGAUGCGGAAUUCCAGGUGUAGCGGUGAAAUGCGUAGAUAUCUGGAGGAACACCGGUGGCGAAGGCAGGUUCUUGGACAGAAGGUGACGCUGAGGCGCGAAAGUGUGGGGAGCAAACCGG